AAGCCACUGAUCUAUGUCAGGCUGGAAGUUAGGAAAGCCCUGCCUCGGGGAGGGAGUGGAAAGAGAUGGACACAGCAAUUUCCACCGGGGUGCUGUCUCUCUCUUCUGGAAAGAGUCCUGUCUGUGCAAGAUGGUGGAGGUCAGUGUGGUUAAGAUAGAUAAAGUGGAGGCUUUGUCGGAUAUGAGGCUCCCUAGUUUCAGCAUCUGCACAGUGGGACCAAUGACGCCUUCCUCCACUGCGUGUGCACUUGGCCGUGCUGCAGCCAUUCUUGUAGGAGCUCCUCUGUCUACAGUCGUCAACUCUUUCUUGGUCUACACACCCAUCAAUAACUCCCCUGCCCAGCAGUGUCCAGGUAGCUCCUGCUAGUGUUUUUUUCUUCUUCCCUCUACACUUCGCUUGUUCCGCCUCGUCUAACUGGUCCCCAGAUGCCCAGACAUAUCUGCUAACCUCACCGCUCUCUGCCUGCAGCUGCUUUCACACAGCCAGUCCCCAGAAAGCAGCCCCGUCUCUCCCUGGUUGGCUCUAAUAGCACCAACUCAGGCCAAGCAAAGAAGUAAAUUGGAGCUGACAUGAUCCACUUAAGAGUUUUAGGUAUUUGUUUCUGGACUCUCCCCGAGCCUUUGCUGGUUAGGAUCAAAUGAAAUAUAUUGUGGGGGUUUCUUGGUUUUUGGUUUUUGGUUUCUGUUUGUCUUAUCUACAGCCUUUCUUCAAAUGACCUUUUAAAGCUUGAGCCACAGCCACUCAUUAAUCUUCUCAAUAUCUCCGUGGUUUUGAAGGUGGGGCAUGGUGACUACUAAGAAGCCCAUUUUGCAGAAAAGAGUCCUAAAGCAGGAAGAGGUCUAGUGACUCGCCCAGAGUCACGCUGUGACUCUGUCCUCUGCAAAGGAUCAAUACAAGUAUUGCCACCCAAUAAGUGUUGCUUUCCGUGCAUCCUCAGGGGACAUUUUCAUUUCAAGACGAGGUUUGACUUCUGGGUGUCACAUCACUGCUUAUAAUCCCCUGUUUCUCGAGGUCUCUGAUUUUCAAACUGUUGCUUCAGAAAACGCAGGAGUCCACAAUGGGGCUUCAGGGUUUGGGACAUGUAAUACAAUGUUUUCUGCUAAACAGUGAAUAUUUAAACUUUCAGGGAACGCUGACUUUUACUGCAUCUAUAAAUUAAAAUUGUGUGUGAGAAUUCAUUUUUGGAGUUAUCUCCUGGCACAGCAGGGCAAGGGUCUGGCAUUGUCACCACAGAGGCGUGAGUCCACUGCUGUGGCACAGGUUUGAUCCCUGGCCUGGGAACUUCCACAUGCCACCGGCAGGACCAACCAACCAACAAACAAAAACAAACAAGAAAAUUCAUUUUUUUUUAAAAAAAGAUAACCUUUUGGGUUUGGGGGGGGGCUACACCCACAGCAUGUGCAAGUUCAUGGGGCCAGGGAUUGAACCUGUGCCACAGCAGUAACCUGAGCCACAGCAGUGAGCUGAGCCACGGCAAUGACAAGGCCAGAUCUUUAACCACUAGGCCACCAGGAAACUCCAAAAUCUGUAUUUUUAAAAGUUUGAAAACCUCUGUUUCAGAACAUGCUAUUGCUCAGAGUAGGCUAGGGUCCAAUACUUAUAAAUCAGCUUUUCAAUAAUAUUAUAUGCAUAGGAAUCAAAAGAACUUAAAGAUCCAAGAUAAUUGUUCUAUCACUUUAUGGUUUCAUAUCAUACCUCAUAAAAUAAUGCUAUUUCCAACUACUAGUCUCACCUUGGCUCCAACUGAAGGUGUUUGAAUGGUUUCCUAAAAUCUCUACAUUGCAGACAUGCUUCUGCUGAUAUUUGCAAGCGGUUUUUCACCAGUUCCCAGAUUCUGAGACUCCCUUUCACUCUGUUAAGAUACUCUGCUCUUAGCUCAUGGCAAUAAAAGCAUCCUCAGGGAAUUUCCUGAACAAUUAGACAAAGUCUGCAUUUUCUAAUCUUUGUAGCAACCUCCUCAUCAGACACUCUUCCAACAUUCCUUCUCUGGAGUGACCUAGCUCCUCUAGCUAAUACACUCCUACCCAGCCUUCAAGCGCCAGCUCAAGUGUCUCCUGCCGCCACAGACUUCUGCAUUGGCUGUAUUUGGUUCGCACUGUCGUAUUGACUCAUGGCUUUUCUCCCGUGUGCUCUGUGGCUAGAGAAGCUAAACUGUAUUGACUUCAUCAGUGGAUUCCCUUGCCGUCUUCUUGGGUUCAGCCAACAGGAGCACUGGCAGAAGUUGAGAGGAAAGGAGAGGCUCGAGGGUUUUUGUCUCCCUAGCUCACUCCCUGAGAGCUAGCUGAGUAGCUAGCAACCCUAAACUGCAGUUUACCCUAAACUGCACGGGUAAACUGCAUCCCUGAACUGAAGACCACAGCAUCUGUAAGCAGUUUUGUUUUUUCCGAAAAGUUUUCUGUACCGGCGUCCAGAAAUUUCUGUCUCCACGAAACCUGGGAGUAUAAUGACCUCCAGUAUAUCCCACGAUCUUGUUUCUUUGCAUUUGCUCACCUUUUGGUAAAUGGUCACAUUAAAAGCCUCUUCUAAAACCAUCCAAUUUGAGGGUUCCUGUGUUUCUUGUUAGAAUUCUAAUUCUUUGACCCUGUUCUCUCAGAGUGGGUCUAUGUUUCCAUUGCAAUUCUACAACUCACGGAUGGGUGCCACUUAUACUUUUUAUUAUACUGUGAUCUCUUUUUAAGUCUAUUUUCCUUCCCAGAAUUUGAAGAUACCCUUGAAUCCUUGCAAUGUUUGGGAUAUUGUAAGGACUAAGUUAAAGUCUGUGAAGACAUUUUCAGCCACUGCUUAUUUUAUCAGCCCACCAACAUGCCAGCAAAGCUUUGAAGGAACAGAACCUCUUAACACAACUACAUUUAAAGGCAUAUUGUCAUUUUCAUUCUGAGGCUCAGAGAAAAGAAUGAAUACAGAGGCUUACUGGUGUCUUUAUCCCUAUUCUUCAAUGUGAAUUCUUCCAGGACAGAAUUUUCCCCCCAGUGUUUAGCAUAGAGUAAGUGCCCUGGGGCCUGACAUAGAGUAAGCACUCAAUGUUUGUUGAAUAAAUUAAUGGGUCUCUAUUUUCUUUCUGUGUGAAAUCCAAAUAGUC
rnacentral:lncRNA from 1 species